AUGUAUUUUAGGGUCUUUGUGCUCUGAGACUGUGUUUGGAGUUGGAGAGAGAGAGAGGUGGACCAGUCCUUCUCGGGGCCGGGGUCUGUGGAACUGCUCUGCCUACGACUUGGCAGCCAAGGUCAUUGCCAGAAGAGGCCCGUGCCUCUCGACCCCAAUUCUCCAUUACUUACCCUGGGAAAGGUGGAAGAAGAAGCACCACCUGGUUAGGGGUGGCAAACACGCCAUUACCCCUAACUACAGUGCAGACAUUACUAAUGGAUCACAGUGCUCUGUCCAGGUGGGAUCUUAGCCUCUGCCUCCAGCUGAUGCUGUGGGCAGUCUCUGCCAGUCAAUCACGUUGAGGCCUCUUUGUCAUCCCUGGUUCCAGUCCUUCCUCCUCCCUGGAAUGGUGAACUAUUAGCACCAUCCUGAGGCCUUCUGGCAGGAAAUGAGGUGGAAGGCUGUCUGUGUGGUUCUCAGAAGCACCAUAGCUCUGAGGCGUUAGACAUACCUCCGCCCUCUGUGAAUGUGCCUUAGUUUCUUCUCCAAGCUGGAGGCGUUGUUGUGAGAAUCGGACCGGGAGGGGAAGAAUACAAUGUUUUCAAAAGGUAGAGGUAACCACAGAUGUAAGAUGUUUUUGCCUCUGAAGAAAGUGCGUAUUAGAUGCGUCUGGAUAUUAUGCAGAGUAAUUGUGCGUGGAAAGUUCUCUUCCCGGGGUGUUUUGCAGACUGAGACAUCAGAUGAUACCAGAACAAGGAGGAAUAAGAAAUGAAGAUGUAGAUCAGUGGAAAGUACUGUAAGAUCUGCAUUUAUGUGCUUGCUGUGAUGUGAGCUGCUGUCGUCAGGAAUCCCAGGGGGCUUACCAUUUGCUUCCCCAGGAGUAACUGUUGAGCAUGCAGGACCUUCAUUCCCUGACCAGCAAUCGAACCCAGUCCCCCAGUGAAAGUUUGGCAUCUCAACCACUGGACCGCCAGGGAAGUCCCAGAAAUAACACCUUAUAAACUAUGAAUUGCUGUGUUAAACAAAGGGGCAUGGCUGUCAUUACUAUGAAUAAAAGGAUGCAUAUUUGAAA